UCUUCCCUCUUUCUUCGUGCCUAAUACAUGCAAGUCGAGCGAACAUACUAGGAGCUUGCUCCUCUGACGUUAGCGGCGGACGGGUGAGUAACACGUGGAUAACCUACCUAUAAGACUGGUAUAACUUCGGGAAACCGGAGCUAAUACCGUAUAAUAUAGUGAACCGCAUGGUUGAAUAGGGAAGGACUGUUUUGCUGUCUCUGAUAGAUGGAUCCCCGCCGCAUUAGCUAGUUGGUAAGGUAACGGCUUACCAAGGCAACGAUGCGUAGCCGACCUGAGAGGGUGAUCGGCCACCCUGGAACUGAGACACGGUCCAGACUACUACGGGAGGGAGCAGUAGGGAACCUUACGCAAUGGGCGAAAGCAUGACGGAGCAAGGCAGCGUGAGUGAUAAAGGUCUUCGGAUCGUAAAACUCUGUUAUUAGGGAAGAACCAAUGUGUAAGUAACUAUGCACGUAUUGACGGUACCUAAUCAGAAAGCCACGGCUAACUACGUG
rnacentral:rRNA from 1 species